GAUGAACGCUGGCGGCGUGCCUAAUACAUGCAAGUCGAACGCUGAAGGAGGAGCUUGCUCUUCUGGAUGAGUUGCGAACGGGUGAGUAACGCGUAGGUAACCUGCCUGGUAGCGGGGGAUAACUAUUGGAAACGAUAGCUAAUACCGCAUGGCAACAGUUAUUGCAUGAUAACUGUUUAAAAGGGGCAACUGCUCCACUACCAGAUGGACCUGCGUUGUAUUAGCUAGUUGGUGAGGUAACGGCUCACCAAGGCGACGAUACAUAGCCGACCUGAGAGGGUGAUCGGCCACACUGGGACUGAGACACGGCCCAGACUCCUACGGGAGGCAGCAGUAGGGAAUCUUCGGCAAUGGACGGAAGUCUGACCGAGCAACGCCGCGUGAGUGAAGAAGGUUUUCGGAUCGUAAAGCUCUGUUGUAAGAGAAGAACGAGUGUGAGAGUGGAAAGUUCACACUGUGACGGUAUCUUACCAGAAAGAGACGGCUAACUACGUG
rnacentral:rRNA from 1 species